UUCAGGGUGGCAUAGUGGUUUGAGCAUUGGACUAUGACUCUGCAGACCAUGAUUCGAUUCCCUGCUUGGCCA